AGCUCCAAUAGCGUAUAUUAAAGUUGUUGCAGUUAAAAGCUCGUAGUUGGACUUCUGGGCUUGUGUUGUGGUCCGCCUAACGGUGAGCACUGCGACAUGGGUCCUUCUUCUUGAAGACUGUGCGUGCUCUUAACUGGGUGUGUACAGGAUUUGAGACCUUUACUUUGAAAAAUUAGAGUGUUCAAAGCAGGCCUUCGCUUGAAUACAUUAGCAUGGAAUAAUGGAAUAGGACUUCUGUUCUAUUUUGUUGGUUUCUAGGACUGAAGUAAUGAUUAAUAGGGAUAGUUGGGGGCAUUAGUAUUUAAUUGUCAGAGGUGAAAUUCUUGGAUUUAUGAAAGACUAACUUCUGCGAAAGCAUUUGCCAAGGAUGUUUUCA
rnacentral:rRNA from 1 species